AUCCUGGCUCAGGAUGAACGCUGGCGGCGUGCUUAACACAUGCAAGUCGAACGAAGCGUCCCGCCCGAUGAAGUGGAGUGCUUGCACAAAGCAGAAUCAAUUGGGAUGACUUAGUGGCGGACGGGUGAGUAACGCGUGGGUAACCUGCCUUACACAGGGGGACAACAGUUGGAAACGACUGCUAAUACCGCAUAACCCGCUAGUACCGCAUGGUACAGACGGAAAAGAUUUAUCGGUGUAAGAUGGACCCGCGUCUGAUUAGCUAGUUGGUGAGGUAACGGCUCACCAAGGCGACGAUCAGUAGCCGGCCUGAGAGGGUGAACGGCCACAUUGGGACUGAGACACGGCCCAAACUCCUACGGGAGGCAGCAGUGGGGAAUAUUGGACAAUGGGGGAAACCCUGAUCCAGCGACGCCGCGUGAGUGAAGAAGUAUUUCGGUAUGUAAAGCUCUAUCAGCAGGGAAGAAAAUGACGGUACCUGACUAAGAAGCCCCGGCUAACUACGUGCC
rnacentral:rRNA from 1 species